GAUCUACUCCCUCGGUCCCAAAAUUCUUGUCUUAGAUUUGUCUAAAUACGGAUGUAUCUAGUUACGUUUUAGUGUUAGAUAGAUACGUAUCUACACAUGUAUAAGACAAGAAUUUUGGGACGGAGGGAGUAUCUG
rfam:Triticum aestivum genome assembly, contig: Triticum_aestivum_CS42_TGACv1_scaffold_146196_2BS